rnacentral:misc_RNA from 1 species
UUUCCCUCUUUAUCCUUCUAGAACCUCUUCCUCGCCCUCGCCCCCUCUUUCCCCUCUCCCGUCACCGCGAGCCACGCGCUGUGGUGCGAGGUCGGGUGGCAGCAGUCGCGCCCAAAGCCCCGCGUAUACAUAUGUGUAGAGGCAGGCGCACACACUCGUACCGAACACAAAAAAAAGGAAAAAAAAUCACCGACGAGCGCACACUCACACACAACAGCAGCAACGGGGAGGUGAGGCGAGGUGUCUCUUGCGCGCUCAUACGCGUUUACAUAGCGAACAGGCGCGAGCCUCACGAUAGUGACAGACAGAGGAAGUGGGGGGAGGGGAGAGGGGCGAGGUAAAGAUUCACCCCUCAUCUCAGCCUCGCCUGCUCGCUCUUGCUCUUGCUCUCUUCCCUUUGUCGUUUUCGCUCCUCUUAUUGCGCGGCUAACGUCGUCGUUGUGUGCGGUGAUUGUGCGUGAUCGGCGGCGUCUCUGUGCACGCGCGCUCGCUUUUUCUUUUCUGCUUUCCUUUUUUUUUCUGGAACGUGGAAACUCGAGUCGACUCCGGCUUCCCUUUUUGCGUUUCUUCGUGUUGUGUCUCCCUCUGCCUUCGCUAUUCCCUCUUCACCACCAUCACCACUGCCGCCACGUCCCAGCCUUUCAUCUGCAGUGGCAGAGCCAGGUACUAUCACAACAACAGCCCCACAUACCGGUGAAUCGACUCGGUUUCUUGCUUACUUUUGCCUGCUGUUAGGUGCAGACAGUCGUGUUGUCUCUCCCUCUCUUUUAUUCUCGUUGUUGGUGGUGUUUUCCUUCUCGUUGUCGCUGCGCCUUCACGCGCCCUUCGCUGUUUCGGUGUUUCUCGCGUCACCUCCUCGGUCUUUGUGUGCGUUGUCGUGGUCUCCUUUCCUGUUAUUACUAUUACUAUUAUGUAUUGUCUUCGGCAUGCACCUUGUACGACUGUCAUCAUCCCCAUCAUCAUAAAGGCUCGUCAUCAGCCAGCCCCCCCCCCUCCCUCAUCAUUUGCAUCCUCAAGUAGCACGACACGCCUGGCGCCGAUCACAGGCCAGCCAGCAAGCAGGCUAGCACGCAGAAGAGAGAAGCACAAUCAUCGCCCUCGAAGCGGGUGGAGGACGGAUGAUGCAGAAGCGUGGGGACAACAUCAUCGCCAACGCUACUCCCUUCGUGGCGAGGACGAAGACAAGCGGGGCCCAAUCUGCUGUUUCGUCGUGUCCGUCACCUGGCGUUGCCGUGGGUACCAGUAGCUCCGCUGAGCACAAGAAAGAAUGCGCAAGCAGUGCACCGAGCACCCUCGGCGCUGCAGCGUCGCCGCGUGUGUCGUCAGCUGACGCGUCAGCAAUGCUGGUGACAGCGAUAGCACGGUAUGUGCAACAUCGUCUCACAGUGCCCUCUGCCAUCGACGACGCAGGUGCCGACGAGUUGCACUCGAUCAAGAAGGGUGGCGCUAGAAGGAAGCGCUCAUCCCCUUCAGUCAGCGGGGCGGCUUGCAGCGCGGCACUGCAGCGAGUCGGCGACAGUGAUGGCGACGUGAACGCGGUUCACCUUGUCGCCUGCACGCAGCAGGUGGAGGCCCAUCUGCUGCGCUGCCUCCUACACGUCGAGCUCACGCCAGGUCGGUUGCCCAAUCAGCCUGAGGUCAUUGGCGAGGCCCUCGGUACCCCCAGCACCACCACAGCAGCAGGAACGAUGGAGGCGAGUCCGCAAGUACAUAGAGCAGCGCGGCGUGUGGUAACGACGACGAACCAAGCCGCCAGCGCGGAAGGCGAACAGUCUCCGCCGCCCCGACACCCUGCCGCGUCGACAGUGGGUGACAAAAACAGCUGCAGGGGGAACACCGAGGCCCGUAGUCGCAGCCAGAGGAGUUCUAUCGCCGCCGCCGCAGAGGCCUCCUCGUCUCCGCGUGUUCGUGCGUCCAGCGGCGGCAUCAAGGCAAAGGAACUGUACUACACGUACACCAACCAGGGCAUACCCCCAUCCCAACCGCGCCCGCGCGGCGGCAACCGUGCCGCUGUCAUAUCAACGUCACCAACGCGCUUGCCAAGCCGCAGCAACAGCGCUGCGGCGAGAGAUACCAUGAAGGAUGGAACUGUCACGUUGCCGCCUCCAGCGGAUAAUUCAGAAGGCGAUCCUCCUGCGCACACCAGAGGGUGCUCCGCCUUUCCGUGUUCCCGUGGCGGUGCCGUCCGCCCGCUGCACCCAACCGAGAUACGCGCUGCUCUGCGUUCGUGGCCGUCUCGCAUCGCGCAGUACGUCCUCGCGACGACUUUCGCCGAGCAAGAACUGCGGAGCGCCGCGGCAAACGCAGGUGGUGGGGCCAACGACGAUGCGCCUGCAGCGCAUGGAGCCGCUAGAAGCGAUGCGCCGGCGAGCCAUGCACAAGAAGAGGGUAGUGCUUCUGCCACUGCGUCUUCCCGAGUUGGCGACGGCGCCGAGGAGGACGAGGACGAGGAUGAGGCGGGCGUCGUCAUCGACGUCCUUUUACGGCGUCUGUGCGAUAUGCUGCAACACACCCGUCUGGCUGCGGACAUCGGCGAUGCUGGUGCUGGACAGCCGCCCUCCAUAGACUUCCCGUCGUUUGCACGCUUCUAUCUCGCAGGCGGCGAUGCAGGCAACAUCGCCAGCGACAGUGAUACCGAUGAGCACGCGCCGAGUCAGCGCUUCGGAAAAGGUGGGGACGUUCAUCUGUACCUCACGCAGCUUGCCCAAGUGCUCCUCCCCACCGUCACCCCGGGCGGUGCAAGUGCAAGUGGUUUCGCUUGGCAAGACGAAGCGGACUCGAUAGAGGGGCUUGCGUUAUCAGGGGACAUCGCCACCGACAUUGGAAUGCUCCUGAAGCACACGCCCCUCAUCACGGCACCAAGGCACCCUUCCGAGUUGCCUGCACGUACGCCGGCGCUCGGCAUUGCCGACAUCAACGCCACAACACCCCUCUUGACGGCAAGAGGCGCUCUAUGGCGUGCGCUGCGCUCUCUGCUCAACUUCCCCCCUUCGUCCUCGCAUAACCCCACGAUGUGUACGACGCCUCUCGUCGUGGGACUUGUCCGCCGCUACACCUCUUGCCGACUCGACAGCAGAAGCAGCAGCAGAAGCGAUGGUGACGGCGACGGUCUUCGUGUUCGCUUCCUUCCAGCGGCGGAUCUUAUCAGUCCCGCGGGGGUCACAACGACCGCCGCGGCCGCGCCUGCGUCCGACGACGGCCUGCGCAACCAUCAAGACGCCCCGCACGACCCUCUCCGCACGCCUGUCUUCUACACCGCUGUUUUUCUCGAGGUGACCGGGGAGGACGUCCUCCACUCGACGGCCAACGACGAGGAUGCAGUGACGCUGGAGGAAGAGUCCGCUUCCAAGGUGCGGUACGAGGCCGAUGUGCCGGAAGUGUACCGUGAUCGUCAUCGCCGUCGCAUGGAGGCCCAGAAUCGCCGCGGCGUCCACUACAGCAGCAGCGCCACGCACGGAGGAAGUGCGGUACGAAGCGGUAGAAGCAACGUUAACGGCGAUGCUGGCGCUUCGGCGUCGGCAACGAGCGGCCUCGAAGGCGCGACAGCGCUGUCGAUUCGCGGCCGCUGUCUCUCACGUCGUGAGUGUGCGUUGUGGGAGAAGCUGCUGGCACUUGCGCACUUCGUGCACGUCUCCGGCACACCUGCAGAGGUGGAGACGACGGCUCGGUACGUCACGCUGGUCAUUCGGCGCCGGCGCGGAGCACGCCAGCAGCCACAACGCGACCCACGGCAGACGUCCAGUGCCAGUGCGACACCAGUGUCGAUUGCCGAGAGCGCCGCCUUGCCUUCCGUGCCGGCCUUCUUCUUUACGCUGACAGAGACCUCAGCGCUGCGGUCCGCCGCCGCUACGGCCGCCGAGGUCCGUCAGACACUCUUCUGCAACGACCAUGACGACAGCGACGACCAUGACGCAGUGCCUUUCGAUGCUGCGCAAGGUGUUCUCACGAAAGCAGGCAGCGCUUCGUCGAUUGCCGCUGCCGGUGGGCGAUCACAUUUCUUCGGAAGCUCUGGGCUUGGACUGCGAGCCCUGCUGGGCUGGGGCAAAGGUGCUGCCACAGCGCCGCCGGAUCAGCCCGUCUCGCCAAGCUGCAGCCUACAAGACCGCAACACUGAUAGCAGUAUCCGGGCACGGCCGCGGCGUGAGGAGGGAGGGCCCCCGUGCCGUGCACCGCCCACAGAGCCGCCUCCCCCGGCAGUGCAGGACGAGUCGACAGAGGAGCUCAUCAUGGACUGGAUGCACGACGCGCUGAUCCCUCUGUUUUUCGAGACGACCGUAUCCGGCAGCGUUGCGCCUCACCAAGGCUCAGCGGCGCCCGCCAAACCGUCGGAAGGCAAAGAGCGUGACGACAGCCAUGACGAUGAGUCCGCUGUUGCCGCCACGGCGGGACGUCGACGAGCGCCCUACCACUUGCGCAGCCAGCGCGUCUUGCUCGGUCGUGUGCAGGCGGUGACGCCGUCUAUGGUGUACGGAAGCUUCACCACAACCGCAAGCAGCGCCACGGUGGCGCUGGCAUGUGGCACGGAUGCAGCCAUGGAGGCCGUGGUGCGGGACAGCAUGUUUGACGCUAAUCUUCUCCCCUACUUGCUACUGAACCAGCUCUUCUUUGCAGCCGAUGGCUCUUCGGUGAAUGCGGCGCACGACACGUUCAGCUCGCCACCCCCGCGGGCUCGUUCAGCCCCGGUGCCUGAGCAGACACCCGAGCACCCGCGCUCAGCAGCGGCGGGGCAGCAGCCGUCGCAGCAGGCAACUAUCCAAUCACACGGACUGCGCCCGAUACACUCUUUGCCGGCGUCAGCGACAGCAGCGGCGUCAGCGCACUCGCCGAAUGCACACGGUCGUCGUGUUAGUUUUCUGGAAGAUGCCUCGAUUUCUACACCGCUGCGGCUGGACGCCAGACUCCCCGUCGCGGAGAGUGGGGUUGGAUCGCCGCUGCUGCGGCAGUCGCCCAACUUUCCGAGCGCCACCUCGCCCGAGCGGUCCUCCUCUAUCGCCGGAUCACCACGCAGCAUCCUCAAGUCAGGGAGGCGGUACAAGCGGGAGAAGCUCAUCCGCAGCAGCGCGCCUGCCGCGUCCGUCGUGCCUUUUCGAAGUCUCUUCCUGUGGCGCUUGCUGGCGGCCGAGGUGCUGGGCAGUGGCGGUCGGGCCCACGACGCUUCGAAGCAGGAGCAGCAGCAGCAAGGUCUUGGUAAUAUUAGCGCUGUGUCCGCCACUCUGUGCACCACCUCGGUGGCCUACCUACGCUACACGCAAGCGCUGGCCGUGCGCGUCGCCUCGGACGUGGCGACAGCGGUACUGCUUGCCGGUCUGCUGGCGGAGCAGUACGCCUGCUACCGACAGCUGCGAGGCCAUGAUAAUCAGACGCACCGAGAUGGCAGCUCAGCCGUCACGGAGCGCGAUCACAGCAGCAUCCAUUGCGGUGCGGCAGGCAGUGAGAAGAAGCACAACUCAAGCGGCACCCCAGCGGAGGUGAACGCCGAAGCGGCGCGGUGGGGCGCGCUGCGGUGCGACGACCUUCUACCCUUGGCCAACGGCGCUGCACUGGCGUUUGUACGAGCAGCCCUUGCCCCAAUGCUGUGCUACGACGACGGCGCCCCUGCGCAUCUGGCCGGCAUUAUCGCGGAGGUGGAGAGUGGUGUGGGCUUCAGCGAUGCAUGUGACGAGGACGAGUGCAAGUGCGAGCGGCGCGACGACCCCGACAGCGACCAGAGCAGUGCGAGUGCCACGUCCUACGUAGACGGCCACCGAGGGCGACGCGACGUUAGCAAAGAUGGCGCGACACCUCAUCACAGACGCACUUCCGCGCCGUCCGCCAUCUCCCUCCUCUCCCCUAGCCUUCCCGCCGAUGUUCUGAAUCGCCUGCAGACGCUGUCUGUGGUGUGCUUGUUGCAUAUACGGCAGGAAGUGCUCGAGAGCAUCACGCGGCCGUUGGAUGUAGUGAUGCGUCGCUUGACAUGGGCGCUGGCAAGACUCCACCUGCAUGCUCUCUGCCGGCCUCUUGAUGAUUUUCUGCGUCGUGGCAGCGCCACGGCGCUCCUGCGCGACGCCGAUGGCAGUGCGCAGGGAGUGCACACAGAGCAUCAGUUUUGGCAGCUUGUACGCGAGGUGCUUGACAUGUACGGGGAGUGCCUCAUGCUGCCCCAUCUGCUUGACGCCGCCGCACCGCUGUUGGCGACGGUGCCGGCAGCCUCUACGGAAGAUAGAGUGGUGGCGUCGGAAGCAGCAGUGAACAGACACGAAGGCGGUAGCAAGGCAGGCGCGCGCGCGCACGAUGAGGAGUCGUCUGGUGUGUCGUCAGAAGAGGGGGAUGUCAUCUCACCGCUCACGCCAUACCAAGAGAGCGCGCCACCUCUGUCCUUCACUGCAGCGGUGCCUCUGACGACGAGAAUAGGUGCGGCUAUUCCGAAGCUCCGGCUGCCACGAGAGCAGCAAGACCAGCAGCAGCAGCAGCCUGUCGUCCGCAGCGCGCGGCGGGGCGGUGUCGGCUUUGUGCCCUUGUCCUUCGUUAACGCGAGCUUCGAUCCGGCCCACUCAUCCUCCCUCUUGCCCGCGCAGCGCGCCGUCCUCCAGCCCACGCCCGCGCGGUGGUCUGUGGCCCGCGCCCUCGGCGGCUGGAGCGCCGACUCCGUCGACCCGGCCGACUCGUACGACUUGCAAAGUUUUGCCUUCGACGGGCGAGCGAUGCGUCUGACAGGUGAUGCCGCCCAAGGCGCCGGCUGCCGCCGCCGCAGCGCAUUGGACGGUGCCACAAACGACUUCGUCAAAGCAGCCACCUCAGCCUUGGGGCUGCAGCGGUCGCCACCAUUAUUCGCGAGUCUGUGCACCGACGGCACCAUGCUCGGCUCACAGGCGUGUGUGCCGCUGGCUGCAGGCACAGGGACCGACAUGGCCACGACCGCGCCAGUGCUGGGCAACUGCUUCAGUGGAAACAGAAGCAGCGGCAACGCCACCAGCGCGGUUGCCUCCAACAGUCGCGGCUGCCAGCUGGCCUCCAAGCAAGGCUUUGAAGCCGCGCUGGAGCUUCAUCACGACUGUGCCAGCGACGCGUCAUGUGACGUCGACGCAGCAUUACCAGUGCGCCUGCUCCACUCGCCACCAAGGGCGAUGGAUGUCCCUGCGUUCGCCGCGUCGGACACAGCCGAGAGUAGACACCUGGGGCGGUCGCCGUCAGGAAUCUUCGACUUCAUCGCUGUGGCAACCCCGCUUUGUGUCGCCACCGCCGCCGAAAGCGCCGCCGCUGACUACGAAGGGUCGCCACUGUGUGUCAUCUCGUCCGGGAGCGACGCGUCUAAGCGGCGAGUGCAGCAAGCGCAGAUUUCAUCGCACGGGUCGAGCUUUCUCACGCCCAUCUUCGCCGUCCCCCUCCUGCGCCGCCUGCAAACGGCGGUGUCGAACAAGAGUGCAAGGGAUGGGGAGGACGCGGAGGAGGGUGAGGAGAGGCAGCCACGACAGUCUCCACGGCCGACGCAGCAGCAGCCUCAGCGGAUGACCCACCAAAGGCACACUUCCCUGGUGGGGGCCCGCGAAAGCGGCGAUGCGGUGACGGGAUCGACCGCACGGACCGCCGGAGAGUCGCCGCUUUCACCCAAGGGGGGCGCCGAAGUCGCCGCGAUGGCGUCAGGGACAUCGGUGAAGCGUCUUGUGGUGCAUGUGGGCCGCGGCGUUGCCGUUGAGAGUCCGCUGCUGAGCCCUUUUGUCACCGAGGCGAAGCACAUGAUGGUGGAGGCGCUGCUGCUGCGCUGGGUGCUGCCGUGGUGGGCUCAGCGCACACUCGACAUGGAGCAGAAGGUGGCGAAGAAGAGAAGGAAGGGACGUGAUGACGCACGUGCAGGCGACGCAACAGCCACAGACUGUGAAGCUGCGCCGAACGGGCCCGCCCAGCCUCUCGUCCAGAGAGGCUGCAGCGUCAGUCCGCCCACAACCAGAUCGACCGUCUCCACAGCUCCCGCUGCCAGCCGCGAGCGCCGAGACUGGUCAGCCAGGGCGGUGCCAUCGGCGGCGACGUCUCAGUUGACGAAGCAGAUGGCAGAACUGCAACGCGAAAACGCAGAGCUGCACGGUCGCCUUCGCAGCACGCAGCGCUUGCUUGGAGACAUUCAUCAAACAUGCAGUGUACUGCGCAUGGCUGCUCGACAGUAUGAGCAGGCCAUAGCACUUCAGGAGGAGGAGAAAGCACCGACGGCGGCGGAACCCACGACAGCUGCGCCGGAUAGUAGCUUGUUCCUUGCGGGUGGUGCUGACACCUUGGCCUCACCGCAGCAGCUGGACUUAAUCUCCCCAUCGCCGCUUUCCUCGACGCCGCAGGUCGUACCUGGAAAGGGUGACGUGGGCGUGGGGAGCCCACACGGCGACGCAGCACCGGAGAAGAUGAUGGCGACCGACUCUGCGGCCUCCCCGCUCGAGAGCUUCUCGGUCACCUUGCCGCUUGCCGAUAGUAUUUCGCCGCAGCUCCUGUACUUUGCACAAACCGAGGAGGGCCGCGAGCGAGUCGCGGAGCUGUGCCAGCGCAUCAUUGUGCUGCUCAGUGGCGCUGCUAACGUAGAAGACAGCAAAGACAACGCAAAGAGUCUGCCGCCCUCGGCAAUCGCACAUGACAGUGACCUGCCUUCCCGACUCCCGUCGUCCACGUCUGCGCUGGCUACGUCGCGCUCUUUCCUGUUGCACUCUCUCAGCCAAGGCAUGCAGGGCUCACAAUGCUUGUCGCCACCGGAGACGACGUCGGUGGAGCUGGCUGCCACUGCCGUGUUGUGCAGUGACUGCAGCGUACGGCGCCGGCACUCCGUCGUCAGCCACGGGCCGUCGCAGCUGUUCUCGCCGUUGGAGCCGCAGUCCUUCCGCCGCACCAGCACCGCCCUCACCCUCAUGUCCCUUGCGCCUGCUGGGGCGCUGGCCAUGAGCAACACGAUCGCCGCUGAGACACCUUGCUCGACGCCGACGCCGAUUGCCGUGCUGAUUCUUGGGGCCUCGAGUGACCCCAGCACUGGAAGCUCGCCGGCGCGGCUCUCUCGGCAGAGCUCCUUGCAGCAGCAGCAGCAGCAGCAGCACGUGCCUCCGCUUCGGCCGUCGUCCUCCUCUGUGCAAUCAUCACCACCGUCGGUAGCGUCGCAGCAUGUCGCCGACGCGGUCUUCAGCAGCGCAGACGUGGAUGUGCAAAGGACUAUACUGUCAGCCUAUCCAGCAGCGGCGCCGUCGCAUGCUUCAUCCGUGCCGCUCACCCCAAAGGAUACAUCACCGCUCCCUCGGAGAGCUCCUCUGUGGAAUCAGGCGACGCCAGUGGCACCGCAAUUGGAACUGGAAGCGGUAGUAGCGUCGUCUCCGUGUUCUACCACGCCCAUGGUGUGGUUGACACAGGUGCGACACGCGCCGCUGCAGCAGCACAGUGGUUCAGCCGAUGGCGUGGAGACAUACGCACACACGUCGGAUGAACAGCAGCACAGCAGGGCGAGCGGUUUUGCGGCGCCCAGCGCGGACUCGGGCUUGCACGGCACGCAAGUGGUGACGCCCUACCACGAUCGCCGCCAACACCACGGCAGACACAGCGAAAACGGCGACGGCAACGGCGACGACCGCCAAGCGCCGCCUUCGACGCUUUCCUCACCAUCAGUGCGCUCGCCACACUUGGCGCGGCAAACGUCCUCCAUUGCGGAGUCACGAGGAUCCGCAGCGUUGUCCUCCUCGAUGCCGCCACCGCUGUCGUCGCCAUCGCCAUCAUCGUCGAAGAUGUUCUCUGGGGCGUCCUCCGAGCCGUCCUUCGAGGUGCGCAGUCGGUUCUACGAGAAUGGGUCGGCGGUCACAGCGGCCAUCGUGCACAGCGGCACUCCGCAUGCCGUUCUCAUCCGCGAGGACGACUCUGACAUGCAAGACAGUGCCAUCGCCGACGCGGCGGCGACGACGGCGGCAGCGGCAGAUGCAGAGGUGGCGAGGAGCAAUAGCGGCUUCGAAGCACCCAAAGAUGAGGAAGAUGACGUGGCUGGGUCCGUUGCUAUGGCGGUGGGUGGUGCGAAACUCACAGGGAAGCACGUUGAAGUCGCGGAGGACGCGUCGCAUGCUGAUCAUGAAGACAACCUGUCGGAGCAGCCGGCCGUGCUGCAGCAGACGGGUAAGGCGCCGGACUUGCAGCGGUCCCUUUGCGACAUCUCCUUGCCGCUCCCCCGAAUGCUGCCGGCUGCCCCACUCCCGCAGCCGUCGUGCCGGCGACCGCCGGCAUCGCUAGCAUUUCGCCGAUCUCCUGAGGGCACCCUUUCCACAAGCUCUGUCACUCGUCGCAUGUCUGUCGGGACUCCGUCGUCGUCCAUCUCCUCCUCUUCCUCUCCUCCGCCGACGGUGCAACGCACCAACUCUGACGUGGCCACGCACGGUGAGCGGCACGUCACCGCCAGCGAUGACGAAACAGAGCACGUGAGCCACGAGAGUGACGGUGCAAGCUGUUGCGACAGCGUCUUGCCUGUCCAGCGUGCCAUUGCCAGCAAUGCUGACGAAGCGGGUGAUGCGGCAGGGCAGGAGCCGAUCUCGAUUAAAGCGGCGGUACUGCCAACGCGUCGGCCUUCCUUGCCGACGCGUGAGGACGCCAACGGUAGCAGCCCUGCGUCGGCGUCAUCGAUUGAAAGGGAGCAGGCAGCCCUGCAUGUACGGACCGCAGCCACGGCGUCGUCAUCGCCGUGGCGGGAGCGGGCACCGGUGCGGAACAGCGAGGCCGCCGUAACAGCAUUGGCAGAUUUGCAGCAACGCCUCUCCGGCUCGAACAGCGCCGUGGUUGAGCUGCGUCAGCAGCUGCAGCAGGUGGAGCAGGAGCUGCACGAGAAGGCAAAAGCCAUGGCAUGUCUCACGGAGCAGCUCGCAGCUACCGAGGCAGCGCUGGGUGCCGCCCGGCAUGCAGCGACUGUGGCGGAGGAGAAGGCGCAGCAGCAACAACAGAGACUUUCCACGCCGUCGCCACCGCCGCCGCCGCGUGCGACUGUGGCCACCAGCACCGAGAAGCUGUUGCUCUCGCCCUCAGCGUUCUCCACGCUGUCGGGCAAAGAAAGGGCGAAAGAGGUAGAUAGUAGAAGCCUCACCAGCACUCCUGCCGCAGCAUUGGUAGAGACGGUUGUUGGCGAGUCUAAAGCUGCCGCCGCACCUGUCGCAUCUGUUCCUGCUGCAACUCCGCCUCCGUCCUCAGCGGAUUCAUCGCCGUCGUCGCUGCGCACGCAGCCUCUGCGCCGCGUUCACGAGCUCGAGGAUGAGCUGCGCAACGCCAAUUUCCGCAUGGGCCAGUGGCGAGCCCUGCUCGACGCCGAACGGCACGCCCACGUGGUGCAGGUGGACCAGCUCACGCAGCGGCUAGAGAGCGAGCAGCGACGAAGCGCACGUGCGAGUCGCAGCCGAAGUCGCAGCCUCUCGCCGCUUUCCAGCGGCACUGGGCCCUUGCCGUGCGUAGAGCGCUCUGCGCGGGAUGAAGCCAGAGCAGCGCCACCACCAGCGCCGCCGCCGUCACUCGAGUCCUUUCCUCCUCCAGCGGCGGAGGUGCCCCGGCUCAACUUGACCACCGGCGACGGUGAACUACCACCUGCCUCACCGAGAGAGCAGCAACGCAUCAACACCCUUAUGGAGCAGCUGCAUGUCGUCGAAGCGCACGCGGCAGAGGAGCACGCCCAGCGCGUGGCAGCCGAGGACGGUAUCAGAGUCCUUGAGCGUGAGCGGCGUGUGCUUCGGGAGCAGCUGGAGGCGCUAGAGAACGAGCGGGCUAUAGCGCAAGUGCAGCAGCGGCAGAAAGAGCACGACUCGGAUCAGCGUGAAGAGGCCCUCCGUCGAGAAUUAGAGUCGCACAUGCAGACACUCACUGCCAUGCACGCGGCACAGGCAGCCAGCGAAGAGUUGCAGAGGCACUUGAAGGGGGAGCUCGAUGCCGAGCGCCGCGCUCGAGCAGCAGCAGCAGCCGACUCAGCAGCCGCAUAUAUGGCUACACAGGAUCGCCUUAUGCGUGACGGUGAAGAGGCUCAGCAGCAGUUGCGUUGUGAGCGCGACAGGGCCCUUCAGCGAGAGAAGGAAGCACUGGCGCACGCCGCAGCUGAGGCGCAGGCCGCGCAGUUGCAAAUCGCCGCCUUGCGACAGCGCAUCGAGUCCACGACGGACCAGCUACGCACUGCGGAGGCAGACAGCAGGGAACACCGGCACCGAUGCAUCAUCGCCGAGACGCAAGCGGCAGCGCGGGAGUCGGCUCAAAAAGCGCUGACGGAUCGAGUGUUGGUGCUAGAGGAAGAGCUAUCCAGCGCCCGCGCUGCUCACAAACAGUGGCAACAGGACGCCGAUGAGCGCGAACGCGCCUUGCGCCGCGAGUACGAGGAGGCCGCCGCGGACGCCGGCGCUGCGAUGGAGGCACAGCGCCGGGCAAGCAGCGAGCGGCUGCAGCGCUCCGAGGACGAGCUGCACGCCAUGCAACGUGCGCAAGCAGUCAGGGCCGAAGGGCACAGGACCGCUUUGGAAGAAGUCACUCGCAAGCUUGCGGACGCUGAGCAGGCCGCCCAUCUUGCGCUGGAUGAUCUGCGCCGCGAGCGGGAGACUCACGAGCGCACGACCGCCGCUCUGCAGGAGGCUCAGUCGGAGAAGGAGGAGCUGCACCGGCGUUUCGAGGCCGUACUGGAAAGGCUACAUCUCGCGGAGCUCGGCGCGGAUGAGCACUCCCGACAACGAGACCGCAUAGAAACGUUGAAAGUGGAGCUGGAGGCAGCGCGUGCACAACAGCAAGAAGCUGUGGAGAAGGCUGAGGAUGCUCUCCGUCGAGAGGCAGAGACACAUAUGCGCACCAUAGCCACGUUACAGGAGGGCAGGUCUGCCCAUGAUGAGCUUCGGCGGCGCUUAGAGGAAGAGUUGCAGUCCGAGAAGUUGGCGCGAGCCGCCGACACAGCAGCACACAAGGCGGCGCUUGUGAGUGCUCAAGGUCAAGUAAGCCGAGCUGAGCAGCGAGCUCAAGACAUUGCCGAUGCUCUUCGACGCGAGGAGCAGGCGCAUGCACGCACGCUUGCCGCGAUGCAGGCCGCGGAGGAGGCCAACAGGCAGCUCCUGCGCGCGCGGGCAGCUCAGGAGGCGCACGCACAGCAACGCGCCCGAAGCUGGUUGUCAGCGCGCGAGACGUGCUUAUUGAAGUGGAUGGAAGCAAAGACACAGCUGAUGGUGGGCGCGUGUAGCAUCAUCGGCGCGGUGCGGCAGCCGCAGCAGACACCCUCACGGGUGUCCCCGUCGCCAACUGCUGCCGGCACCCCUACGGUGGGGUCGGAACGAAAAAACGAGAGAAGAAGCCGAGGCCGGGAAAAGCGUCACGGUCAACCCCCUGCGCCGGACGCCGUUGCCCCCGUGCAGGCCGCGAGUGCUGGGCCACGAGCACAACCGGAGAUGGUGGUCGUCUCUGUCGACGACCCGCUAGGGCUGCGCUAUGAGCUGCAGCGCAAGGCGCGCCACAUCGCCAGCCUUGAGGAACGCGUUCACCAGCUUGAAGAGGUGCACGCAGCGGACCAGCAGGUGGUAUCGACCCUGCAGAAGCUUGUGGCGCAAGAAGAAAUGUGCAACGGGAACGGGAUCGCAGCCGCCGCACGUCUGCCCCAACCUCCGCCUCCACUGCCCAUGGCCACGGCGUCGUGGUCAUCCCGGUCCCCACUGCGAACGCCAUCGCGGGCGUGGCAGGCACGCGACCCGACGCUGCUGGAAGGCUACAGAAGCCCCAUUGCCCUCCUGUGGGACCCCCACCCCGGCAGCCACAGCAGCGCGGCAAGUCCGCCAGGCACCACGGAGCGAAAGCGGCUGACGCCCAACGAGUACCGGCAGCGCUACACCUCGCUUUAAGGGCGUCCUGCGCACCCUUUCGCGUGCCGCCAUGUUUCCUGAGAAAGGCGGCACUGGCAAGGGAAGAAGGGAAACGGCGAGGUGCCGGCGCAGCACGAAGUGAGCACGCGUGCCGUCACACUUGAAACUCUCUUCAACCCUCUCUCUCUCUGUCGAUGUGUUUUGCCAGUGGGAGCACUCGCUCUCUCCAUAGAAGUGUUGCUCCGUCGACCGACCAAGCAUUGUGGAGGAGAAGUGCACUCCAGAAGGCUCCCUCCCUUCCUCUUUUCUCUCGGGCUGUGCGUCCGCCCCGAACACUCAUGACCACCCGCCACGCACGCACUUUAGCGCCGGGAGGGGUGGCGUGUCUUUCAUGCCUGCGCAUAUCGCCCGUCAUUCAUCUGACCACUGCAGGUCGAAACUGCUCCGUCAUCCCCACACCUUGUCUCCUCGCCGGAUUGUUUCUUCUCUUUAUCCGAAUAAG